GCCAGACUCCUACGGGAGGCAGCAGUGGGGGAUAUUGCACAGUGGGCGAAAGCCUGAUGCAGCGACGCCGCGUGAGGGAAGACGGUCUUCGGAUUGUAAACCUCUGUCUUUGGGGAAGAAAAUGACGGUACCCAAAGAGGAAGCUCCGGCUAACUACGUGCCAGCAGCCGCGGUAAUACGUAGGGAGCAAGCGUUGUCCGGAAUUACUGGGUGUAAAGGGAGCGCAGGCGGCACGGCAAGCCUGAUGUGAAAGCCCGCGGCCCAACCGCGGGACUGCAUUGGGAACUACCGGGCUGGAGUGCCGGAGAGGUAGGCGGAAUUCCUAGUGUAGCGGUGAAAUGCGUAGAUAUUAGGAGGAACACCAGUGGCGAAGGCGGCCUACUGGACGGUGACUGACGCUGAGGCUCGAAAGCGUGGGGAGCAAACAGGAUUAGAUACCCUAGUA
rnacentral:rRNA from 1 species